CCAAGAGUGAGACCAGCCACACUCACAGCCCUUCAGACACUGCCUUUGCUCUCCUGGCCAGAAAAUUCCGUGUUUUUCAGGGAGCUCGGUAACUUCUGCCCCUGUGAUCCACGUGGCUCCAGCUAGAUGUGCCAGACACUUCAGCAGAUCCUGUUGGCCCUGCACAAGAGCUGGAGAAGGUGACAAUUCCUGACAUGGUUCUGGAGCUGGGGAGGGCACAGCGUUGGCACCCUGAUCCAGGCUUCCCUCCCACACCACUUCAGGGUCUGCCUCAGCCAACGGUGUGUUAACAGCACCCAGAUUAGAAAACAAGCCUGGAAUGGUGAAUUCCAGAGUAAAUACAAAAAUGAA